rnacentral:rRNA from 1 species
GACGAACGCUGGCGGCGUGCCUAAUACAUGCAAGUAGAAUGCACAGUUUAUACCGUAGCUUGCUCCACCAUAGACUGUGAGUUGCGAACGGGUGAGUAACGCGUAGGUAACCUGCCUGGUAGCGGGGGAUAACUAUUGGAAACGAUAGCUAAUACCGCAUAAUAUUAAUUAUUGCAUGAUAAUUAAUUGAAAGGUGCAAUUGCACCACUACCAGAUGGACCUGCGUUGUAUUAGCUAGUAGGUGAGGUAACGGCUCACCUAGGCGACGAUACAUAGCCGACCUGCGAGGGUGAUCGGCCACACUGGGACUGAGACACGGCCCAGACUCCUACGGGAGGCAGCAGUAGGGAAUCUUCGGCAAUGGACGAAAGUCGGACCGAGCAACGCCGCGUGAGUGAAGAAGGUUGUCGGAUCGUAAAGCUCUGUUGUAAGAGAAGAACGGGUGUGAGAGUGGAAAGUUCACACUGUGACGGUAUCUUACCAGAAAGGGACGGCUAACUACGUG